AGGAAUGUGGAGUGUUAUGGGAGAAGAGGAGAGGAGAAGGAACAACAAAGACCACGAAACCCUAUCCAGUAAAGCUUUGCCCUAUCACCAUGACUAUUUUCGAACCCCAUGCCUAAUGGUCCAGAGAACUGCCACCAGACUACAAAUUAUGGAAGACAAAGAGAAUGCAAGACGGAGAAGCAAGAAAAGACUGACACAGGAGACAAGGUGAAGAGGAAUUAAAAAUGUGUUUACGGAAUUUCUGUCCUUGUGUUUCCCUCACUCUCUUAUAGUCAAAACUCUCGUUCCUUCUACAGUAUAUGUGAUGGAACUGGACGUAAAAAAUAAAUAGAUGAAUAAAUAAAUAAAUAAAUAAAUAAAUACACGUAAGUAAA